UAGCAUCCAUGAGGUACUACCUACAAGAAGUAUUGUUUACGGACUCUUAAGAGCUACUGAUCGAAUGCAACUGAGCCGGCCUUGCCAAUGGCCGAGAAUGACUGAGCCAGCCCUGCCAGUGGCCGCCUAAUAACUGAGCUGGCCCCGCCAGUGGCCGAUAAUAACUUCGCAGUAGCAUCUGAGAGUAUGAUCACAGCAUGCCGGAGGCACGGUUAUAUAUGUGCAUUUCAUGAAAAUUCUUGAUUGAUAUAAAACACUGAAUUGUUUACUCAACAUGAAUAUUUUAUCAUGAUGAGUUGUUAUAUAGUAUACAUGUCAGCUUCUCAAACCCUAUUAAAACAUGUUUAGUAUUUUUGCAUAAUCAAGCAUAUGCUAGUAGAUAUGCAUGAUUUACCAAGGUUAGCAUGGUUCAAGUGUAUCAUUGUAUAUGGAACAACGGACAUUUGAUGUAUAUGUUAGCCUCUCAAAUCCUGCAUAAACAUGGUUAUCAUAUUUGAUGUAAGUGACCCUGCACAAAUCUUAUUGAUUGCAAAUUACUAUUUAAGUUAUAAGUAUGAAAUGAUGAAAUAAUAUUUGAUAUGGUGUAUU
rnacentral:lncRNA from 1 species